GGCUUCACGGGGUUGGUGUCCCCGUGCAAGGAGGUUGGCGAGGCCUCAGGGGACUCCCAGUUCAGCGAAUCCGUUAGCCUUCCUCUACCUUAGUCACUUCCCCGUGAGGCACUCCGUGUUUGUGUACACGGUUAUUCCACGUGUCAGUCAGUUCAUCGGGCGCAUCUGGAGUCAUUGAAAACAGUAAUAGGAAGUCAAACAAACCCGCUUGAUGCAAAAAUUCAGGAGGACAUUCGGUUUUUAAGGAAAUAGUGCUGAGGAAGGACCAGGCUGGACCUCUUUGGACCCUGAGACUGGGAGCUAUUGUUCCAGCUCAGACUUCAUCCUCUUUCUCCUGGACUGUUGCUUCCUCCUCAUUGCAGACCCAGAGGGACCUUUAGAACACCCAAACCCGUUCUCCCAUGGUUCAAGACCAUUCCAUAAUUUCCAUGACUUCCCCCAUUGACGUGGGAGGGAGUCCGAGCUCCUCAGCUUGGCAUUUGAGGCUCUUUGAAGAGGGUCUCGCUCUGUUGCCCAGGCUGGAUGGAGUACAGUGUUGUGACCACAGCUCACUACAGCCUCAACCUCCCAGGCACAAGAGAUCCUCCCACCUCAGCCUCCUGAGUAGCUGGAACUACAGGACAGACCAAUCUGAGGUCAGAGUUAGCAGCAGGAUACAUCCUGGUCCUCUCUUGCCCCUGAGAUCUCGCUGGGGCUGAUGGCACUGCCACUGCUAUGGUUGGAGCUAACCCAAAAGCCAGAGCUCCACAUGCCAGAGAUUCUUUUGGCUGAGAAGACUGUGACCUUGAACUGUACCCUCAAAGGCACCUGCAAAGAAACCAAAGCCCUCUUCCACUCCCGGAAGAACCCAGCCAUCUCCAGCAGCUCCUCCUCGGUGCUGCACUUCACCCUGAGGCCUGAGGACCAUGGCAACACCCUUGGAUGUCACUUGAACUUAUCGCUAGCCAACGUGACCAGAAGUAGCUUGGUCAAGCUCCAAGUGGUCUCACCUGCCAGGUUGUUCAAUUCCUCUUGUUCCUUGGAGAAGACAGUUCUGUGCAGCUGUUCCUUCCACGGGAUCCCCACGCCCUCCGUGCAGUGGUGGAUGGGAGGUGUCCCUGUGGCUGUGAACAGCAUGGAUAACAUCCUCCGGGUGACUUCUUCCACACGUGCCCCCUGGGCCAACAGCACCAUCAGCCUCACUGGGGAGCCAGAAAGAGUCAUGAGACUUCACUGUGAGGGGAAGAACCAAUAUGGAAUUCACACUUCCAGCAUCUUCCUGAUACCAAAUAAGAAAUCAGUUUCCAGUGUGUUCGUGAAAGGAUUAAUCCAGGGCAUUGUAUAUGGAGCCAUUGCAUUCUCAUUGUUCUUCUUCUGCCUCGUCCUCUUGUCACCAAGAAGUAGGACGUGCCCACUGCAGAAGGCUCCCUUCCACGUACCUCCUGCUGGAUCUCCAUGACAUGUCUCCUCCCGGACUCUCCCCAACCAGAGUAAUUACAAUUCUCACAUCUGUUGCCAUGGAUCAUUUUUGCCAGGUCAACCAGAAAACAGGAAAGUCUAGUGGUGACGCUCCUCUAGUCCCAUCAGGUUGAGUGUGAGCACACACUCAGGAGGGCAGCACUCUGAGCAUUUGCAUCUUCCACUGGGUAAGCAAAGGCCAGCCCAGAGUCAACGUCUAUUCCUGUCAAGACCCAUUUGUAGCCCCCCAGGGCUGCUAGCAUAAGCCUCACUUGCCAGCCGUGCUUGGGACCUUCCCACCAGGGAAUCUGGCCCAUAGCCAUCUGCAGUUUCUGUCUCUCCUGCUGGCAGACAGAACAGUUCUUAGUGGCAUUAUGUGCCUGAGAGGGUGCAAUAGAAACAUAUUUAGAUUCAGCCCAUCUCUGCACUGCUGCAGUGCCCUCAUGUCCUCUCAUUUCAUGCACCCAGGUGGCCACCUUAAGUGAGCACACAGGGAUAUCUGCUUGUCGAUUUCAAUCACCUUCCAGACCUGGAAGAGAGCUCUUCUGGUGGGCAUUGACAUGUCCUACCUUAAGGACCCCUCAAAUUUCCAAAGGGCUGUGUGUGUCCCAUAUGGACAUCCCUUUAAUAGGCUAGGUUUCCAUUAUCCACCUGCUUGACUAUAUGGCCAAGCCAUUGGCCACCGCCUGUGAGUCAGUAAAAACCCACACGGAAGGGCUUUUACCACUGUUCAAUUCUUCAGCAUGCCAUUCAGCUCACCGGACGGAUUUGUUUUUAUCUUCUUUGAUCAGAAUGGCAUCCUUCUAAAUAGAACGUGGUCUUUUCAUCUUGGCACUGUCAUCUGCACACCAAGCAGCUCUUUGUUGGCUAGUUGAGAGCUGUUUAUAGGGCACUGUCCAAGUGGCAGUAGGAUCCAGCUGCUCCCCAUACGCUUCCAGAGUCAGUCCGAGGGAGAAAGAGGCUCCUUUUUCAUUAGUAUCUCCUCCUUGCAUUCCCUAGGUAGCAAGAUCCUGUAUAAAUCAUUUCUAAUUUAUUAGGGGACUCUUCUGGGCAUUUAAAUCUCCAUUAGAGUGUUUUUAAACAUAAUCCAAGAUAUUAUUGGUAUUUCAGGCUUCAAGAUCAUUUUAUGUCCUCAGUCAUAGGGGUAGCUUGAAUUAAUAUCCCAUAGAAAGUAGUAUUAUGCUCUUCAAAUUGAAAUUCUGUAGUCCAGAGUCUCAGUAGUUGUCACUGGAAGGUGCUUUUAGGCUGUUCCCAUAGGCCCCAGUCUGGGUUCCAUACAGGGCUCUGUCUCAGAGAAUUUGUCCAUAGCAUCACUCUGUCUUCUAUUCUACAUUUUGUGGGCUCCAGAGAUCUGACUGGUUCCUAUUUAGCAUGUCCAAUUAAUAUUGAUUAAAGGCAGAUUUACAUGGCUUUUGUUUCAUAAUGCUAGGUAUGGGAAACAUUUCCCAGUCUGAUACAACAUCCAUCCCCAUAAUAUAAUCAGGUAAAAUCACUUCAGAGAAAAUGUGUUCAAAUAUACCAACUCUCCUAUAAAGGUUUAUCUUAAUUCCACCAACCCUCACUUUCCUAACUGUAGCCUCUAUUAGAACUUUAUUAAUGGGUUUUGGUUUCACAAUACUACAACCCUUAAAUUUUUAUGUUCUCUCAAUCUAAUCCCAAGUCAGGACUUCACCAAUGGAUGUUGGUACCAUAGUCAGUGGACCUCCCAUAUCAAGAUGUCCCAAGAAUUUCUCUUCUGCAUCCCUGAUCAUUUUGUCCACUUGUGUACAUAAGGCUUUAGGUCCCCAUCAGGGCGAUGAGCAUAAGAACUCUUGCUUGUUGGUUAAUCUUUAUCUUGAUUAAAAUGCCAGACUAUCACCCCAG